rnacentral:rRNA from 1 species
GAUGAACGCUGGCGGCGUGCCUAAUACAUGCAAGUCGAGCGAACAGACGAGGAGCUUGCUCCUCUGACGUUAGCGGCGGACGGGUGAGUAACACGUGGAUAACCUACCUAUAAGACUGGGAUAACUUCGGGAAACCGGAGCUAAUACCGGAUAAUAUAUUGAACCGCAUGGUUCAAUAGUGAAAGACGGUUUUGCUGUCACUUAUAGAUGGAUCCGCGCCGCAUUAGCUAGUUGGUAAGGUAACGGCUUACCAAGGCAACGAUGCGUAGCCGACCUGAGAGGGGGAUCGGCCACACUGGAACUGAGACACGGUCCAGACUCCUACGGGAGGCAGCAGUAGGGAAACUUCCGCAAUGGGCGGAAGCCUGACGGAGCAACGGCGCGUGAGUGGUGAAGGUCUCCGGAUCGUAAAACUCUGUUAUUAGGGAAGAACAAAUGUGUAAGUAACUAUGCACGUCUUGACGGUACCUAAUCAGAAAGCCACGGCUAACUACGUG